rnacentral:rRNA from 1 species
UACGUAGGGUGCAAGCGUUAUCCGGAAUCACUGGGCGUAAAGCGUGCGUAGGUGGCGCGUUAAGUGAGAUGUUAAAUCGUGUGGCUCAACCAUAUCGAUGCAUCUCAUACUGGCGUGCUAGAGGACGGCAGAGGCAAGUGGAAUUGGUAGUGUAGCAGUGAAAUGCGUAGAUAUCGGGAGGAACACCUGUGGCGAAGGCGGCCCCCUGGUUGGAUACUGACGCUGAGACGCGAAAGCGUGGGGAGCAAACAGG